AUCUUCCCGAAGAUGCAGCAGCAAAGCGGUCAGUUUUUAAAGUGAAAAUUUCAGUCACAGAAACACGUCUGCAAUUUCUUAAGGUGCUGUUGUGUAACUUGCUUCCAAAAAUGUCAUGGCUCCGAAAAAGAGACCACCUCCGAGCACAGCUGGCAUUGCUGCAAAAUAUAUAUUAGAAAAUUAUGCCGAUCUUCCUCAUCAUCAGCCUCCUGCUCUUAAGAAUGGACAUGUUUUACAUAUUUUCUUAAACUGUGACCAACAUGCUGAAAGAACAAUUAGUGAAGUCAAAUCUGUGUUGGGCAUUCCAUGCAUCAUUCAGCGAUGGCAGAUAAAUCAAUUGGUUGAUCAGACAAUUAAAAAAUUCCCCAACCUAUCUCGGGAAAGUGAUCGAACGAAGUAUGAACUUGUUUGUAGUGAACAGUUCACAAAGUAUUUUCUUUUAACUGAAGUCGCACCAUCAUCCCCUGCUGAAGAGGAGACACCAGUUGCAAGUACUUCUGCUUCCAUUGAACCAUCUACAUCUGACCUGUCUGGUAGUAAUGUUUUACCUGUUGAUUUAUGUUCUUUUGUUUCACCAAUUCCAUCUACUUCUACAGCCAGUCCUAGUGACACUAUUACACGUUCAUCCAAAAGAUAUGUUUUAACACCAAGGUGUAA